AGUGGGGAAUAUUGCGCAAUGGGCGAAAGCCUGACGCAGCAACGCCGUGUGAGGGAUGAAGGCUUUCGGGUCGUAAACCUCUGUCAGAAGGGAAGAACGGGCAUUGGUCUAAUAGGCCUUUGUUUUGACGGUACCUUCAGAGGAAGCACCGGCUAACUCCGUGCCAGCAGCCGCGGUAAUACGGAGGGUGCAAGCGUUAUUCGGAAUUACUGGGCGUAAAGCGCACGUAGGCGGCCUUGUAAGUCAGGGGUGAAAUCCCACGGCUCAACCGUGGAACUGCCUUUGAAACUGCAGGGCUUGAAUCCUGGAGAGGGUGGCGGAAUUCCUGGUGUAGGAGUGAAAUCCGUAGAUAUCAGGAGGAACACCGGUGGCGAAGGCGGCCACCUGGACAGGUAUUGACGCUGAGGUGCGAAAGUGUGGGGAGCAAACAGGAUUAGAUACCCUGGUAGUCCACACCGUAAACGAUGGAUACUAGGUGUCGGGGACUUGAUCUUCGGUGCCGUAGCUAACGCGUUAAGUAUCCCG
rnacentral:rRNA from 1 species